rnacentral:rRNA from 1 species
UCAUUACAGAGUUGUCCUAACUCCCAAAACCAUGUGAACUUACCUACGUUGCCUCGGCGGGGAAGCCUACCCGGUACUUACCCUGUACUUACCCGGGAGCGGGCUACCCUGCGUAGCCCGCUGCAGGCCUACCCGUCGGUGGACCGCUAAACUCUUGUUAUCCAGUGUGGCCUCUGAAACUACGUUAUAACUUAAUGAGUUAAAACUUUCAACAACGGAUCUCUUGGUUCUGGCAUCGAUGAAGAACGCAGCGAAAUGCGAUAAGUAAUGUGAAUUGCAGAAUUCAGUGAAUCAUCGAAUCUUUGAACGCACAUUGCGCCCAUUAGUAUUCUAGUGGGCAUGCCUGUUCGAGCGUCAUUUCGACCCUUAAGCCUCAGUUGCUUAGCGUUGGGAGCCUACCCGGCGGGUAGCUCCCUAAAUGCAUCGGCGGAGCCGCGGCGGCCCUAAGCGUAGUAAUUUUGCUCCUCGCUUCAGUGGCGUCGGCGUCGGCGUCUGGCCGCUAAACCACCCCCCUAUUUUCUAGUGGUUGA